rnacentral:tRNA from 1 species
UAGCUCAUUAGUAGAGCACUUGUCUGGCAUGUAUGAGGCCCUGGGUUCAAGCCCCAG